rnacentral:tRNA from 1 species
GCGGGCGUGGCGGAACCGGUAGACGCGCCGGGCUUAGGACCCGGUCCCCGAAAGGGGGUGGGAGUUCGAGUCUCCCCGCCCGCA